GACGAACGCUGGCGGCGUGCUUAACACAUGCAAGUCGAACGGAAAGGCCCUGCUUUUGUGGGGUGCUCGAGUGGCGAACGGGUGAGUAACACGUGAGUAACCUGCCCUUGACUUUGGGAUAACUUCAGGAAACUGGGGCUAAUACCGGAUAGGAGCUCCUGCUGCAUGGUGGGGGUUGGAAAGUUUCGGCGGUUGGGGAUGGACUCGCGGCUUAUCAGCUUGUUGGUGGGGUAGUGGCUUACCAAGGCUUUGACGGGUAGCCGGCCUGAGAGGGUGACCGGACACAUUGGGACUGAGAUACGGCCCAGACUCCUACGGGAGGCAGCAGUGGGGAAUAUUGUACAAUGGGCGGAAGCAUGAUGCAGCAACGCCGCGUGCGGGAUGACGGCAUUCGGGUUGUAAACCGCUUUCGCCUGUGACGAAGCGUGAGUGACGGUAAUGGGUAAAGAAGCACCGGCUAACUACGUG
rnacentral:rRNA from 1 species